rnacentral:rRNA from 1 species
GACGAACGCUGGCGGCGUGCCUAACACAUGCAAGUCGAGCGGGGUUGAAGCGAGGGGUAACUCGGACUUCUACCUAGCGGCGGACGGGUGAGUAACGCGUGGGCAACCUGCCUCAAGGUUUGGGAUAACAGCUCGAAAGGGCUGCUAAUACCGGAUAUGCCUGUGGCCUCGCAUGGGGCUAUGAGCAAAGGGGAAACCCGCCUUGAGAUGGGCCCGCGUCCCAUCAGCUAGUUGGUGAGGUGAAGGCUCACCAAGGCGACGACGGGUAGCCGGCCUGAGAGGGUGACCGGCCACACUGGGACUGAGACACGGCCCAGACUCCUACGGGGGCAGCAGUGGGGGAUCUUGCACAAUGGGCGAAAGCCUGAUGCAGCGACGCCGCGUGAGCGAAGAAGGCCUUCGGUUGUAAGACUCUGUCUGGAGGGACGGAAGGAAGGUAGACGGUACCGUCCGGAGGAAGCCACGGCUAACCUACGUGCCAGCAGCCGCGGUAAGUCACGAGAGUA